rnacentral:tRNA from 1 species
UUAGUAGUAGUAAAUAAUUAUAUUUCAUUUACAAUGAAAAGGUGCAUAAGCCUACUAAU